GACGAACGCUGGCGGCGUGCUUAACACAUGCAAGUCGAACGGAAAGGCCCUGCUUUUGUGGGGUGCUCGAUUGGCGAACGGGUGAGUAACACGUGAGUAACCUGCCCUUGACUUUGGGAUAACUUCAGGAAACUGGGGCUAAUACCGGAUAUGAUCUCCUGCUGCAUGGUGGUGGUUGGAAAGUUUCGGCGGUUGGGGAUGGACUCGCGGCUUAUCAGCUUGUUGGUGGGGUAGUGGCUUACCAAGGCUUUGACGGGUAGCCGGCCUGAGAGGGUGACCGGCCACAUUGGGACUGAGAUACGGCCCAGACUCCUACGGGAGGCAGCAGGGGGGAAUAUUGCACAAUGGGCGGAAGCCUGAUGCAGCAACGCCGCGUGCGGGAUGACGGCCUUCGGGUUGUAAACCGCUUUCGCAUGUGACGAAGAGUGAGUGACGGUAAUGGGUAAAGAAGCAACGGCUAACUACGUG
rnacentral:rRNA from 1 species